GCCAGGCGUGGUGGUGCAUACCUGUAAUCCCAGUAACUUGGGAAGCUGAGGCAAGAGGAUCACAAAUUCAAGGCCAGCCUUUGCAACUUAGUGAAAUCCUGUCUCAA
rnacentral:sRNA from 1 species